rnacentral:lncRNA from 1 species
UUCAACGAAGAGGCCGAGUGCGCGCGCGAAUCCGUCGGCGAGGUUCUGGAAUUGUACGAGGGGCUGCUGCGGAGGCUGCCGGAGGGCGAGAGGGCGUCGAUUCAGCGGGCGAUGGGGCUCAAAAUCGAACAAUUGAAAGCUGAGCUCGUUCAAUUGAAUGAGUAGUGAGUUGAAUAAUCUGUCUUCUCUUAUAUUUUAAUUUAAUUUUGUUUGCCAGUAAGCUAUUAUCGACUUAUUUUUUCACGAUAUUAAACUAUGGAAUCGAGCAAUAUGAAAUCAACCCAUAUCAACACAAUUUCAAGGGGUUCGAUUAUCUUCUUACCGCUUCUUAUUCCGACGACUUCCCACUUCUUCUUCUUCUUCUCUUUUUCUUUUUCCAGAUUUGAGGUUUGUUCUGGGAAUAUUGGUGGCUCCGUG